GACGAACGCUGGCGGCGUGCCUAAUACAUGCAAGUCGAACGAGGUCCAUGGGAGCUUGCUCCCGGACGACCGAGUGGCGAACGGGUGAGUAACACGUGAGGAACCUGCCCUGGAGUGGGGAAUAACUCGGGGAAACUCGAGCUAAUACCGCAUACCCUCGGAUGAUCGCAUGGUCGACCGAGGAAAGUUUUUCGCUCUAGGAGGGCCUCGCGGCCUAUCAGCUUGUGGGUGGGGUAACGGCCUACCAAGGCAGCGACGGGUAGCUGGUUUGAGAGAACGAUCAGCCACACGGGGACUGGGACACGGCCCAGACUCCUACGGGAGGCAGCAGUAGGGAAUCGUGCGCAAUGGGCGAAAGCCUGACGCAGCAACGCCGCGUGCGGGAUGACGGCCUUCGUGGUUGUAAACCGCUUUCAGCAGGGACGAAGAUGACGGUACCUGCAGAAGAAGCCCCGGCUAACUACGUGCCAGCAGCCGCCGUAAUAC
rnacentral:rRNA from 1 species